UGAGCUAACAAUCAUAAAGGAACUCGGCAAAUUAACUACCGUAACUUCGGGAUAAGGAGGGCUCAUUAGUCCUGAUGAAUAUCGGGUAAAAAGGAAGAAGCAUAAAAUAAUGUUGUACGACUGUUUAAUUAAAACAAAGCACUCCGCAAAAAGAUUAAAAAUCGAUGUAUUGAGUGUGAUGUCUGCCCGAUCCCGGCUGGUUAACGGAUUUAACUAAAUUAUUAAAAAAUUUGGUGUUGAAGGAACCCCCGGUUAAUGGCGGCCUUAACGUGAGGGUCCUAAGGUAGCGA
rnacentral:ncRNA from 1 species